ACUCCUACGGGAGGCAGCAGUGGGAAUAUUGCGACAAUGGGCGAAAGCCUGACGCAGCAACGCCGCGUGCGGGAUGAAGGCCUUCGGGUUGUAAACCGCUUUUCAGCAGGGACGAAAAAUGACGGUACCUGCAGAAGAAGCUCCGGCUAACUACGUGCCAGCAGCCGCGGUAAUACGUAGGGAGCAAGCGUUGUCUGGAUUUAUUGGGCGUAAAGGGCUCGUAGGUGGUUCGGUAAGUCGGAUGUGAAAAAUCUGGGCUCAACCCAGU
rnacentral:rRNA from 1 species